rnacentral:rRNA from 1 species
GCCUAACACAUGCAAGUCGAGCGGGACAUGCGACGGACCUGAAGUUUCGGAUGGAUGGAAAGAUGUAUUGUCUAGCGGCGGACGGGUGAGUAACGCGUGAGCAACCUGUCCCUUACAGGGGGAUAACACAGCGAAAGUUGUACUAAUACCGCAUGAGACCACAGUAUCACAUGGUACAGGGGUCAAAGGAGCAAUCCGGUAAGGGGUGGGCUCGCGUCCGAUUAGAUAGUUGGUGAGGUAACGGCCCACCAAGUCGACGAUCGGUAGCCGACCUGAGAGGGUGAUCGGCCACAUUGGGACUGAGACACGGCCCAAACUCCUACGGGAGGCAGCAGUGGGGAAUAUUGGGCAAUGGGGGGAACCCUGACCCAGCAACGCCGCGUGAGGGAAGAAGGUUUUCGGAUCGUAAACCUCUGUCCUUGGUGAAGAGGAAGAGACGGUAGCCAAGGAGGAAGCCCCGGCUAACUACGUGCCAGCAGCGGC